GCUGGUGUCUCUAGCAGUGUGGAACCACUCCAUCCUCGCCUUGCUUCGGCGAAGCGGGCCAUUCCGAACUGGAUAGUGAAACGCACUAGCGGCGACAAUAGUAUAUGGGCAACUGUAUGCGAAAAUAGUUCGAUGCCAGCA
rfam:Candidatus Curtissbacteria bacterium RIFCSPHIGHO2_02_FTLL_40_16b rifcsphigho2_02_scaffold_27477, whole genome shotgun sequence.